UACGAAGGGUGCAAGCGUUGCUCGGAAUUAUUGGGCGUAAAGCGCACGUAGGCGGCUUUGCAAGUCGGAUGUGAAAUCCCUCGGCUCAACCAAGGAAGUGCAUCCGAAACUGCAGAGCUUGAGUACCAAAGAGGAUCGCGGAAUUCCCGGUGUAGAGGUGAAAUUCGUAGAUAUCGGGAGGAACACCAGUGGCGAAGGCGGCGAUCUGGGUGGAUACUGACGCUGAGGUGCGAAAGCGUGGGGAGCAAACAGG
rnacentral:rRNA from 1 species